AAGCUUACUCUUCUUUUAAAUCACAAACAAUGACCAUUUUUCAGGUUGUGUAUUGACUUUUUCGUUUGCUGAUCAUUGCAGGCAAAUUAUGAUGAAGUGUACGCUUUCCUCUUAAGGUCCCAGGAGACUUUCCUCCCCCCACACAUUGUGGACAUUGCUUCUUUUAUAAGCAGGUUCUAAAAAAUAAGUGCAGGAGGAACUCAGUUGGCUGACUCAAUGCUUUGCAUUAUAUGGUCACUCCUUAUAGGUUUCUGAUCUCUUGUUGCUUAGCAACAUCUACACAGAUAUAAUUUCCAUCCGGUAGUGAAAUCAAGUACUUUUGGCCUCUGUCAACAUCAAGAUUAGCUGAUCUCUAGAGACCCCACACAGCCAAGGACACUUGUUGCUAUUUUAAGAGAGAAGAGGCUCUCUUCUUCUUGCAUGCCUCUUCUCUUUUUUGUUUAUCAAUUGCUGCGUAACAGAGUGCCCUAAAAAAACUCCUUAUACAGUCUGUAGUUUGCCAAGGCUCGGCUGGAUGGCUAUGACAUUUGAUCCUUCAUGAAACUGCAGUAAGAUGGCAGCAGGAGCUAGAGUCUUCUCAAAGCCAGACUAGGCUGGACAUCCAAGAUGGCUUCUUCCCUCAAGUGACUGGUGCCUGAGCUGGGAUGGCUGGAGCAGCUGGAGACUGGGCAGACAUCUCCCUUGCCACAUGGCUAGGUUGGGCUUCACAGCAUUGGCUUGCAGGAGGCAGGGUGUGUGAAAGAGGCAGUGGGAGUGAUCCACUCAUGGGAAGGGAUAUGUUAUCGCUGAGCCUUGUUUAGAAUUGCUUGUGCAUGCUGAUAAGAAAAGGAAGACCAACUUUUAGUUGGUUUUAGUAAACUUUUUAAAUUCUUUAUAGACAAUGCAUCCCUUUAAUCUCUGUACUUUUAAGUGGACCAUUCCCACUGCCCCCAGCCUUGGUACACCACUUCCUCACAGCAUGGCUGUUUCCAGAGAGUUGGACUUUUUGCCUCAUGACUAGCCUCCCCCAGAGCCUUCCAGGAAGAAAGGCAAAAUCUGUGAGCCUUCUUAUGACCUAGCCUCAGAAGCCACAGAGCAUUGCAUCCCCUGCACUCUGUGGGGGCAAAAGCAAGUUGGAGGACCAUCCUGGAUUCAUGGGGAGAAGACCAAACAAGUGUGAGUGCUGGAAAGGAGACUUCCCUGUGGGCCAGCUUUGGAGAUGAGUGACCACAUUCUCCAUUACCAUUUGCUCCACGUGGUUCAGAACCACAUGAUUAUUUAACCAAAGCUCGGGUUGACUACACUUCAACUAACUGGAACCUACUGUAACGGAAUUUAGAAUGCCUCAAACUGGAAACAAAUGUCCAUCAACAGGAAUGUAGAUUCAUACAAUGGAAUAUUCAAGCAUAAAAAGUAUGAACUACUAAUACAUAAAACAACAUGGACAAAUCUCAAAAACAUCAUGUUGAAUGAAAGAAGCCAGACUCAUAACAGUACUCAUUAUAUAAUUCCAUUCCUACGAAAGCCAAAUACAGAUCUUCAGGAAAAGUUCUCUACAUAUAACCAAUUUAUCUAUGUUAGUGGUACAUUGAGGAGGUGUCCAGAGACAAAGAGACAAGACAGCAAAUGAAUGGACAAGAUGCUGUGAGGGAGUAGGAUUCAGAAGAAUGUCCCAGAGCACAACACAGCCUGGAAUUCACAGAAAUACUGGGGAAAAGGCACAGUGGACUUCCCACUUUCCGUGGAUGGGGUCUCGACCCAUUUUAAGAGGCUAUUAAAGGAAAAAUUGACUGCAGGAGGCAGGUCAACUUGGAAACAUGGGAUAUAUUUUUUUAAAUUUUAGGCAUGGAGAUAUGGAAGGAUGCAUAGAGGCCUGGUAUAUAACUAAGAGCAGGGACUCUGGAGUCCGAGGGUCUGUGUUGGAAUCCCAACUUUGCCACUUAUAACCAUGUACUUUUGCGCAAGUUAUUAAAGCCUCUGAGACUCCAUUUCCUUCUCUGUAAAUAGGGAAAUAAUAAUACCUCAUAGGGUUGUCAAGAGGAGUAAAUGAAGCACAAUUGUAAAGUGGAUGGACAGGAGCUUAGUGUAUACAAAUUGCUGUACAAUAGCUUGUUAAAUAAUAUAAAUAAAUAUGCAUCAAAAUGUUAAGUGUUUUUUGAUGAAUAUAA
rnacentral:lncRNA from 1 species